CCCACAUCCUCGUCUCCACGCCGCCUCCUUUUCCAUCGCCUGACUCAGACACGUCUCCUCCUCUUCCCUUGCUCCCAGCGUGCACUGUCCUUCCGUCUCCUCGCUGGACCACCGCCUACUCCUGCCCCCGCCCCCGUCCCCGCCAGUCUCCCCAGCCCUCGUCCUCGUCUUCAUCUCCUCGCCUAUGCAAGCGAGCAGGUGCUGGUGGUGGUUUGAUCUGUCGUGGGGGAGGCGGCAGGCUCGGCUUGAUGGUGGAAAUAAUAAAUCCAGGUCAAGGAGAAGUGCUUCCGCUUCAUUCCUAUGUUGCUUCCUUUGAUUCAGCUGCUCGGCCUUGCUCGCUCUACUGCAGCGAUGGAUUCCAUCGCCGCACAUGCCGGUUGACGAGGAGGAGCUGCGGCGUGGUCGGAGAACUGACUGCAUCUACUACCUCGCCUCCCCGUUGACCUGCAAGAAGGUACACAACGAUGAUGAGGUCAGAGCCUUGUUUAAGCAAGUGCAAGGAGAAGUUCCUGGAUCUCCUAUAUUUAUUAUGAAAGUGGCAUCUCAGAGCCAACAUCUAGAGGUUCAAUUGCUCUGUAACAAGCAUGACAACGUGGCAGCACUGGACAGUCGAGACUGUAGUGUUCAAAGAAGGCACCAAAAGGUUCGUUAUUCUCCUGAAACAUUGUGUUGUUCAAUAUCAGUUUUGUUGGAAUUAGUCUGAGCCAAACAUUUGUGUCCUGAGUAUUGGUAGAAGUUCUACAGCUUCAAGGAAUUACAACUUCAUUGGACGAUGUAGCAAAGUGCAAAAUGUUGCACGAGUUAUACAAAAUUUAAGUCUUAGGAUUUUCUCCAAUGCAAUCGUUUAUUUUUGUCAGUUAUACUUAUACUGUACUAAAAUAGUUGAAUGUUGCAUUUCAAAUUCAAGAACAAACCUUUUCUUCCUGUAUUGAUAUAUGUGUCGGGACGUCGGCCUCUCUCUCCCUGAGCUAGCGCGCUGCCGAACGGCAGGGCCCGUCCAUUCGGUUUCGAUCUGAUCGGGGGCUUCCUUAUCCUUUGGCUUACGAUUCGAGGUGCGCUCGUGCGUGCGCACGAUUUCGUCUUGAUUUCUGGUGAGUGACUGAGAUCUGCUCUGCUCUGCUCGGUGCCGGAAAACUCAAGGUUUCAAUCGAGGUCAGUUCGUUCGUUCGUUCGAUAGAAGCUGAUUCAGUUGAGCCCUUAUAUUGCUGUUGCGGCUUCCAAUAAUUGAUGCGUAACAGUUCUGAGACACACAUACUGAUGCUACUUCAUGCAAUCAACCAGCUAAGCUAAGUUAAAGUUUGGUCUUCCAAAUGGAUACUAGCACCACCAAACAUUAGGGAUUCACUUUAGCUAUAUCAUCCUUAGUAGAUUCUCUGCUUAGUAUUUGCACCUCUUCAUCUCAAACUUGCUAAUUCUGUUUAUGGCUCGCAUUCGUUCUCUUUUCUUUGGGACAUGGGUAUCGAUGUUAGUAUUUUCUAUCAUUAUCUGAACCUUGGUAGGCUGAUGGUUGAUUUUAUACUCCCUUCUGUAUAUAGCCCCUUUUGCAAUCUGAGUUUAUUAUUUCAUAUGUGUUCAUCAAAUUCAGCCUCUGGGUGGCAGGAUUAGCCCAUUUAAAUCAGUCUCUGCGCAAACAUAAGUCGCUGCUAUCCAAAAACCUGUAGAACUAGCUUGCUGUGUAUUUAUUUUAACUCACAUAUACAAGGGGUAAAUAAGCACGAAUCGAAAAAGAACACCUAAGAUUUCUUUAAUUGUGCUCAUUUUUACAUUAGUAGACAGAAUUACAUAAGUUUGCCUCUACCACUAUUGAUAUCAGCGAUGAAAUUUAGCUGCUUUUUAGUUCUAGGCUGAAAAUGAUGCUGAAGUUCUAAACAUUCUGUUUGACUGAAUUUUUUCUUGAUGUGCAGCUGAAUUAGGGAAGGAUGCCGAAGUUACAUGUACACAACCCUUAUAUUCUACUCCCUUCGUUCCAAAUUACUUGUCACAGAUCGCUCGCUGAAGUUAUUCGCCUUUGGUUACCCCAGGGGGAAAUUUUCAAGCUUGCUUCACGGGCAGUAGCUCCUCCUUCCCCAACCCCACUUUGUCUCCCCUGUGAUUUGCCUGUUCCUGAUCUUGGUGGCUGGCAUGUCUCAAAUUCUCAUUGGGCAGGGCUACUAACGUAAUGGAGCAAACUGGAAAUUCCACCUGCAUAUUUUAGGGUUCUUGCGGAUCAUGCUGGUCACUCCGGGGCAUUGGAGUGGGCCAACUUCCUAACGACGGGCAAGAUGGAGCUGAUCGGCUGCUUGGCAGCGACCAUGAGGCGAGGCGUGGUGCCAGCUGCAGCGGGUGCAGGAAGCAACAACAUAUAAAGAUGGGCGCCGAGGUACACCGUUCACUCCCUCAAAAAGGAAGAAUCAACGUAGUAGCUAGCAUUCAAUUUUAGAUGCUAUGUAUUUCUGAUUCUUUUUGGCAGUAGAGAGCUAUGUAUCUCUGGUUAUCAUUUUACCUGUUGGACGUGCUUCUAGGACGUGCUUCUAAUCCACUCUGCAAGAAUAUGACCUCUCUAUGUUAAUAUAGACCUACCACUAAACGGUUUGCUGCUGCA